rnacentral:rRNA from 1 species
CCUACGGGAGGCAGCAGUGGGGAAUAUUGGGCAAUGGCCGAAAGGCUGACCCAGCAACGCCGCGUGGUGGAAGAAGCCCUUCGGGGUGUAAACACCUUUUCUGGGGGAAGAUAAUGACGGUACCCCAGGAAUAAGGGACGGCUAAGCUACGUGCCAGCAGCCGCGGUAAU